rnacentral:rRNA from 1 species
ACCAAGGAGUCUAACAUGUGCGCGAGUCGUCGGGUUCGGCAGCGAAACCCGGAGGCGCAGUGAAAGUGAAGGCCGCUCCAGGGCGGCCGAGGGAGGAUGGCUCGGUCUCGGCCGGGCCCGCACUCCCGGGGCGUCUCACCCUCACUUCGAGGAGAGACGCACCUAGAGCGUACACGUUGGGACCCGAAAGAUGGUGAACUAUGCCUGGCCAGGACGAAGUCAGGGGAAACCCUGAUGGAGGUCCGUAGCGAUUCUGACGUGCAAAUCGAUCGUCAGAGCUGGGUAUAGGGGCGAAAGACUAAUCGAACCAUCUAGUAGCUGGUUCCCUCCGAAGUUUCCCUCAGGAUAGCUGGCGCUCGGAGGAGAGUCUCAUAUGGUAAAGCGAAUGAUUAGAGGCCUUGGGGCCGAAACGACCUCAACCUAUUCUCAAACUUUAAAUGGGUGAGAUCUCCGGCUUGCUCGAGCAGUGAAGCCGGAGGCGGAUCAGAGUGCCAAGUGGGCCAUUUUUGGUAAGCAGAACUGGCGCUGUGGGAUGAACCAAACGCGGAGUUAAGGCGCCUAAAGCGACGCUCAUCGGAAACCAUGAAAGGUGUUGGUUGCUUAAGACAGCAGGACGGUGGCCAUGGAAGUCGGAAUCCGCUAAGGAGUGUGUAACAACUCACCUGCCGAAGCAACUAGCCCUGAAAAUGGAUGGCGCUGAAGCGUCGUGCCUAUACUCCGCCGUCGGCGGCAUGAGGGAGUUCCCGCAAGGGAGCCCCCGCGAGGCCCCGACGAGUAGGAGGGUCGCGGCGGUGUGCGCAGAAGGGUCUGGGCGCGAGCCUGCCUGGAGCCGCCGCCGGCGCAGAUCUUGGUGGUAGUAGCAAAUACUCCAGCGAGGACCUGGAGGACUGACGCGGAGAAGGGUUUCGUGUGAACAGCCGUUGCACACGAGUCAGUCGACCCUAAGCCCUAGGGGAAACCCUAUGCAGAUGGUCCGGCGAUAGCUUAAGCAAAGACCGGCCGCAGGGCGAAAGGGAAUCCGGUUCCUAUUCCGGAACCCGGCAGCGGAACCGUUCCAAUUCGGGCCCUCGCAAGAGGACUCGUCGGGGUAACCCAACAGGACCCGGAGACGCCGUCGGGAGAUCGGGGAAGAGUUUUCUUUUCUGCAUGAGCGUUCGAGUUCCCUGGAAUCCUCUAGCAGGGAGAUAGGGUUUGGAACGCGAAGAGCACCGCAGUUGCGGCGGUGUCCCGAUCUUCCCCUCGGACCUUGAAAAUCCGGGAGAGGGCCACGUGGAGCAUUCGCGCCGGCUCGUACCCAUAUCCGCAGCAGGUCUCCAA